UCGCCGCUCAUUUCCUGGCCGGGGCGAUGGCAGGCGGCCGGGCAGCGCUUUCCCUUCCUCAGCCAAUUGCAUCUUCGAUCCGCAUCGGAGGAUCGCGGGGUGUGAGGCCAGGGAGAGCCCGGGGGCCGGCGCGGCGGGGGCUGCCACCAGACGGGGAGGAAGAGGAGGGAGAGGAGGGAGGAAGAGCCCCCGGGCGGGCAGCCCCCGGGGUCGGGCCGCGCUGGCCGGCCCAGUCGCUUAAAUGCAACCCCUGGGGCAUCGGCUGCUCUCCGAUGAGACCGCUCCGGGGCUGCCGGGGACGGGGCGUCGUCGUGGGGACCGUCACCCUCUGCCUGGCCGCCGGGUGGGCUCUGCAGACACCCGGAGGAGUAUCGUUGGUUGUCCCACAACCCAACAUCAACGCAACAGUGGCACAAAACAUCUUGCUCUCCGUUGAAUACUCUUGCAGAGGCGCCGCCACCAUUGAGUGGAAGCACGUGUCAAGCUGGGGCACCACCAAAAUCGCUGAGUGGAAAAGCGGGAAUUAUGUCAACAUAUCCACGGUGUACAAGGGCAGAGUGACUACUUUUGAAAAUGGCUCUAUACAGCUUCUGAACGUGGGCAUGAGAGACGCCGGCUACUAUUUUAUCACUGUAACAGAGGAGUAUGGAACCAACACCUACGGCACCAUCAUAGUCAACGUUUACGAGAUUAUCUAUGAAGAUUUACAUUUUGUAGCAGUCGUCUUUGCAUUUCUGGCUGCAGUAUCUGCCAUUCUGAUCUGCUUCAUGUGGCUCUGUAACAAAUCUCUGCAUCUGUGUCAGAAGAAGGCGCCACACAAACUAACAGCGAGUACAACUGAAGAGAUUGAACUGGAAACCAUUGAGUGUUAGCCAAGGACUGUCUCAUAACAAAAAUAACAAUUCUACCUCAGGAGAAAAUAUUGGCAAGGGAAGCAAGAAGAAACCUAAAAGGUAAAACGUUUGUGACUACUGUAGAAACAUCCUGACUUGCAAAUUAAUCAGACAUGAAAUCAGCGGUGUCUGAUGGAGCUGUGUUGACCUGUUAAGAUUUCGGCUCUGCUAGCUAAGGUCAAAGUCAAAAAGAGUAUGCUUUCAUGCUGAGCACAAAUACAUUUUUGUGGCUAAUUAAUAAAAUCUACGGCCUCUACCACUCUUAACCAACCAACCAAGCCUCUGAGAUCAACCCAUAAAGGAAAUAGUCGUGGUCUUGAAGGAUACCUGUAUUUUGGCUACAGCACGUCUCCUAUUACAGACAGAGCAGCCAUUAGCAUCCUUCAACAUAAUAAAUUUAAUGUCUAAUUACAGUAUUACAUUAAAAAAAUUAAUUGCAAGUGUUGAAUCCUGUUUAUUGCGCCUAUGCUGCUACUUUUGGGCGUAAGGAAUUUCCUGAAGCUCUGAAGACAAACUGUAAUUCUUCACGAGACAAAACUGACUUUGAAACAACGCCGAGCUGGUCAAAGUUCCCCCCUUGACAUUUCCAGUUGUUUACACUGCCCGGGGAUAUUCACACACAUUUUAUGACAUUACGAGAGAAGGUUAUUAAAACAAGGAACUAUGCACGGGCACCGAAGAGGACGCUGUCUGUAACAAUUAGAGUGGUCAGAUAAAAUACUGACACAGUGGGGUGGCGGAAAUACUGAAGAGUUUCAUUGUGAAAGAUGUCGUGUCCUUUGCAAAGUUAGGCUAUUCAUCAGCAGGCUAUCUGGGAAGAAAAGUUAAAACAGCAGUACUUUGAAAUUCAGCAUUUACAAACACAGUUCUGAACCUGCUCUUGUCGAGAAGCCCCCGUUGCUCUCCUGUGUCGUAAGGAGACACGAAGCGAUCUAACUAGGGUUUUCUUGAAUCUGCGUAUUGCACUUAGAUUUUCCACCUGCUGGUGGAAUAACAUUUCCUUGUGGGAGUGCGAAAGCACUACACCGACUGACCUUCAAGUUGUCCCGUUUUGCUUUUGUAAAGAGAAGAAUUUUGCAGCGCGAAAUAAACUUUGAAAACAUAAGAGACCACGGACUCGUCUGCGUCUGCAGAUUGCCACGGGGCUUUUUAACUGAACUUCUUCUACCGCCUCUCUCGCGCUUUAGCUCACUUGUUUGCAAAAAGCUUUUACAAAACAGGCUGCCAGAGCCUCCCCUCUGGCCAGGGACUACGACGCUCAGGAGGGUUUUUUUUGCAGCUAGGCCUGAAAGUCUUGCCAAACGCCUUCACUGCUGACGUGCGGUGCUUGCACUUCUGCAACACAGAAGUCCUCUUGCAUCCGUUGUUUCUUUUCAGAAGGGGAAAAAAUCCUGCAACUACGAGACCCCAGUACCUCCACAGAGAUCCUAUUACUUGGUAACGAAGGGCUUAUUUGUCGAAAAGGCCAUCACUGCAUGCAGACCUGUCAAUUUAGGUUAAGAACAGUGAAGUAGAACAGCUGCUUUGGAUACGCAUGGAGCAGCAGCUUCCCAAGAAGUUGCUUAAUAUAUAUUUCCUACGACUAUUCUUUAUUGCUCAAGAAUGCAGCAAAAUAACAACUGUCACCAUACAAGUAUGAUGUUCAAUUCAAACCUGUUCUAUGUGCAAGAAGUUCUCAUAUAUAUAUAUAUAUACACACACACACA